CGAGUCCGAGUCUCCACGGAGACGAAGUGGCGGUCAUCCAGCUUCCUAGAAAAGCUCUAACCACGUUAAUCUUUAGUUGCCUGUACCCGAAACCGACACAGGUAGGGGGGUAGAGAAUACCAAGGGGCGCGAGAUAACUCUCUCUAAGGAACUCGGCAAAAUGACCCCGUAACUUCGGGAGAAGGGGUACCACUGAGAAGUGGUCGCAGUGAAGAGGCCCAGGCGACUGUUUACCAAAAACACAGGUCUCCGCCAAGUCGCAAGACGUAGUAUGGGGGCUGACGCCUGCCCAGUGCCGGAAGGUUAAGGAAGUGGGUUAAGGAUUCGUCCCGAAGCUGACGACUGAAGCCCCGGUGAACGGCGGCCGUAACUAUAACGGUCCUAAGGUAGCGAAAUUCCUUGUCGGGUAAGUUCCGACCCGCACGAAAGGCGUAACGAUCUGGGCGCUGUCUCGGAGAGAGGCUCGGCGAAAUAGGAUUGUCUGUGAAGAUACGGACUACCUGCACCUGGACAGAAAGACCCUAUGAAGCUUUACUGUAGCUUGGAAUUGGGUUCGGGCUUGGUUUGCGCAGGAUAGGUGGGAGGCGAAGAAGAUUUGCUUGUGGGUGAAUCUGAGCCAACGGUGAGAUACCACUCUAACCAGGCUAGAAUUCUAACUUCAACCCGUCAACCGGGGGAAGGACAGUUUCAGGUGGGCAGUUUGACUGGGGCGGCCGCCUCCUAAAAGAUAACGGAGGCGCACAAAGGUUCCCUCAGGCUGGUUGGAAAUCAGCCAACGAGUGCAAAGGCAGAAGGGAGCUUGACUGCGAGACCUACAAGUCAAGCAGGGUGGAAACACGGUCUUAGUGAUCCGACGGCACCGAGUGGAAGGGCCGUCGCUCAACGGAUAAAAGUUACUCUAGGAUAACAGGCUGAUCUCCCCCAAGAGUUCACAUCGACGGGGAGGUUUGGCACCUCGAUGUCGGCUCAUCGCAACCUGGGGCGGAAGUACGUCCCAAGGGUUGGGCUGUUCGCCCAUUAAAGCGGUACGUGAGCUGGGUUCAGAACGUCGUGAGACAGUUCGGUCCAUAUCCGGUGUAGGCGCAAGAACAUUGAGAGGAGUCUUCCUUAGUACGAGAGGACCGGGAAGAACGCACCGCUGGUGUACCUGUUAUCGUGCCAACGGUAAACGCAGGGUAGCCAAGUGCGGAGUGGAUAACCGCUGAAAGCAUCUAAGUGGGAAGCCCACCUCAAGAUGAGUGUUCUCAUGGAGUAAUCCAGUAAGGUCACGGGAAGACGACCCGUUGAUAGGCGGUAGGUGGAAGUUCAGCAAUGGAUGAAGCCGAGCCGUACUAACAGACCGAGGGCUUGACCU
rnacentral:rRNA from 1 species